AUACUUACCUGGCAGGGGAGAUGCCAUGAUCAGGAAGGUGGUUUUCCCAGGGCGAGGCUUAUCCAUUGCACUCCGGAUGUGCUGAUCCCUGCAAUUUCCCCAUGCGGGAAACUCGACUGCAUAAUUUGUGGUAGUGGGGGACUGCGUUCACCCUUCCCCUGG
ensembl:snRNA U1 U1 spliceosomal RNA